UCUUAUAGAUAAGCAAAGAAAGUGGUUUCUUGAGGUGGAAUCUACUCCUGGAGAAAAUCCUGUGAA
rnacentral:pre_miRNA from 1 species